UAAGAGGUAUUUAUGAACAUUGGCGGCAGAAGAGGCGAAAGAAGGGAAUGCCAUUGAUUCGACUUCUUCAGCCACCAUUAUGGGAAAUGUACCAGGGCAGUUGAAAGAGUGGGAGCUAGCUUUGAAUAAAGGGAACUCUGCUGCUUCUGAUGGAUGUCAGAAGGCCUCAGCUGCUGAAAGACCUCCCAUGUUUGCUUUUUGUAUGAAACCUAGGGGCUUAUCAAAGCAAAAGGUCGCAAAAACGAUUCUCAGUCACGGGGCAAAGCAAAGGUUUUCAUGGAGAUCAGGACAGUUUCCAUGCUUUUGGGAGGAGAUUGAACGGACCUAGUUUUGGAGAUGAUAGAGCCAUCUAUUUGGGACAUAACUAUAGACAUGCAGACAAUUCUCAAAUGGCACAGACAUCUCCAUUGGGAAAUUCUCCACGAGAUGUCCCUGGCCAGGGAUGUUUUCCAAUUGGCAAUGAUGGAUUCAAUCGAAAUUAUCCUCCGAGACUACAGAGAUAUAAGUCAAAGAAAUCUGGUGCUAUUGCAUCUCCUUGACAUUCACAGGUGGUCACUGCCUACAGCAGGGGAGCCACGAGCAGUAAAAAGAAUACCCUUCAUUGGAAUUCUCAUCAACAGUUUUCGUCUGAAGGCUCUCAGAGACCAUAUAGUGAGCAGUGGGACCAGAUGGAUAUGAAUGAAUAUAAAUUGUUGGAUGCAUCUGGCGCAGCACGGUAUGCAUCUAAUUUGGCUAAGCUUAAGAGAGAGAGGCCACAGAGACUUCUUUGCAAAGCAAAUGUAGCAGUUCACAGAGCUGUGGUUGCUCUCAUGCCUGCUGAAGCGAUGAAAGCGUCUUCGGAGGAUAGGAAGGAUGAUGGGCAGGUUAUCUGAAGAUUAUCAGUGAACAGAUUGGUAUGGUUCUCAAUUUGACCCCGACGAAUGUGCAGAUGGCAUGAAAAUAUUUCUCUUGAGGCGGGAGCUGGUCCAAGAUUUAUCAGAUGCUGGUGCACCUUUCAUCAUGCACAGUUUUUGAAGGAAAAGUUU